rnacentral:rRNA from 1 species
GCUGGCGGUAUGCUUAUACAUGCAGUCGUACGAGGGCUUUUAGCCCUAGUGGCGGACGGGUGAGUAACACGUGAGAAUCUGCCCUUAGGAGGAGGAUAACAGCUGGAAACGGUUGCUAAUACUCCAUAUGCCGAGAGGUAAAAGGAUUUAUCCACCUAAGGAGGAGCUCGCGUCUGAUUAGCUAGUUGGUGAGGUAAAGGCCCACCAAGGCGACGAUCAGUAGCUGGUUUGAGAGGAUGAUCAGCCACACUGGGACUGAGACACGGCCCAGACUCCUACGGGAGGCAGCAGUAGGGAAUUUUCCGCAAUGGGCGAAAGCCUGACGGAGCAAUACCGCGUGAGGGACGACGGCCUGUGGGUUGUAAACCUCUUUUCUCAAGGAAGAAGUUCUGACGGUACUUGAGGAAUAAGCAUCGGCUAACUCUGUGCCAGCAGCCGCGGUAAUACAGAGGAUGCAAGCGUUAUCCGGAAUCACUGGGCAUAAAGCGUCUGUAGGUUGCUUAGUAAGUCUGCUGUUAAAGACUGGGGCUUAACCCCAGAAAAGCAGUGGAAACUGCUAGACUCGAGUGUGGUAGAGGUAGAGGGAAUUCCUAGUGUAGCGGUGAAAUGCGUAGAUAUUAGGAAGAACACCAAUGGCGAAGGCACUCUACUGGGCCAUAACUGACACUGAGAGACGACAGCUAGGGGAGCAAACGGGAUUAGAUACCCCGGUAGUCCUAGCCGUAAACGAUGGGAUACUAGAUGUUGCACGUAUUAACCCGUGCAGUAUCGUAGCUAAGGCGUUAAGUAUCCCGCCUGGGAAGUACGCUCGCAAGAGUGA